rnacentral:sRNA from 1 species
UAUUAAUAAAAAUCUUUUUGAUGUAAUUUAGUUUUUUUAAUUUGAUAUCAUUGAUAUUUAAUAUUUAUAUUAUCUAUUUUUUAUUAUACCGCUUACUUGAGUAAUGGUAUGCUCUGUAGAUAUAUGAGCAACAUCUUAUUUGUAAAAUAUACUAUUUUAAAAAUAAGUGUAUGAAAAACAUCGAAGCUGUAAUGUUGCAUUGUUU